GAGUCGACCAAAAUAGUGUAUGUAGUAGUGAGCACAUAAUUUGUGGUCACUAAUACAAAAGCAAUUCUCCUCAAUGACAGUUCGAGGUAAACAACCAAGAAAUUGAUCCGCCUCAGCUCUGUCCACAAACCGCAAAAGUGAACAGCUUCAACACCACAAAUAGAAAAUAAAUUAUAUAAAUGGUUUGAACAGACAUCCUACUACAAAAUCUACAAAAUUUGAAAUAAGAAUUUAAUUAUAAUUCGCAAGAGUGAAAACUUCGACGGUCUUUUCAACGAUCAGUGGUCAAAAUGCUGAAGAACCAAUGCCAAGAGUGAAUUCCGUCAGGAUUCUAUUGUUGACACAAAUUUAGCUUUCGUCGACGUCAGUGAUACCGCUUCCGCUAACCCAUAGGAGGAAUAGCCAUGAAAUCGUCGUAUGUUCAUCAGAGGGAAGUUGCACCAUGUCAUCGAGUCGACGAACAAUAAUAUCAUGAAUUAACUGAAGCUUUAUCCGGAACCCCAACACAGCCUUCACUUAUUCCGACGCGCAAAUAUCAAACCACUUCGACUAUAGCUCAACGACAUCUAGCAAAAAGAAUCACACUUGCCGGACGAGUUCUCGCCACGACUGCAACUUGCCAGACGUCCUUUUAAGUUUCCAUCGGUGUCUAGCUUAUACAUCUCCCCUGAGGCAGAAUCCCGUUGAGAGAAGGUUUACCUGGAGCUGACCAACUUUCCUCAUCUGAGCGAAUUUCCCAAGCACUUGUCCCGUCUGGAAGGAAAUGACCAGAAUGCGGUAUGGGACCACCCGAUACGACGUAUACUUUCUUCCAGCUAUGCCGUUUACGUUGCAUCCUGUUUGGUUUUAACUCGAGCGAGUGUGUCGCAGAGUGGCAGAAGGCAAGAUGUAAAGCGAAAUUCAAGCAUCACUUCGACAGGUUAACCUUUCGUUGGAUCAGAAGUAUUCGAUCAGAAAGAUGCAUCGAUCAUCGAUGGUUUUUACAAUUGCUGGCCUGGCGAUAAAAUCGGUUACUGUCAUACAAAAAGUAUCCCACAUAUACUGCAGAGUAAUGUCCAACAAAAGGAAGCAUCCGAAAUGAGAAAAUAUAUUUCUGCACUACAAUGUUUGUAACUCAUAACGAUAGACAAAGGUAAUAAGUAAAAAAAUAGACCCGCAAAUACUCCUUGCGGAGGAUCUCAGUAAUGCACUGAUAGUUACAGUGAGUAUCUCAAAACAAUACUUUCAUAAUAUGCUUUACAACUGUACGGACAGUAUGAACCAUCCUUUACCCCUGUUAUCGAAUAAAGUUACGACAGUUUAAAAUAUUUCA